UACAGAGGUCUCAACCGUUGUUCGGAUUCAUUGGGCGUAAAGCGCACGUAGGCGGCUUUCUAAGUCGGGGGUGAAAUCCUGGAGCUCAACUCCAGAACUGCCUUCGAUACUGGAGAGCUUGAGUCCGGGAGAGGUGAGUGGAACUGCGAGUGUAGAGGUGAAAUUCGUAGAUAUUCGCAAGAACACCAGUGGCGAAGGCGGCUCACUGGCCCGGUACUGACGCUGAGGUGCGAAAGCGUGGGGAGCAAACAGG
rnacentral:rRNA from 1 species